rnacentral:rRNA from 1 species
UACGUAGGGCGCAAGCGUUGUCCGGAAUUAUUGGGCGUAAAGAGCUCGUAGGUGGCUUGUCACGUCGGGUGUGAAAGCUUGGGGCUUAACUCCAGGUCUGCAUUCGAUACGGGCUGGCUAGAGGUAGGUAGGGGAGAACGGAAUUCCUGGUGUAGCGGUGAAAUGCGCAGAUAUCAGGAGGAACACCGGUGGCGAAGGCGGUUCUCUGGGCCGAUACUGACGCUGAGGCGCGACAGCGUGGGGAGCAAACAGG